rnacentral:rRNA from 1 species
AGAUGUAACGGGGCUAAACCAUGCACCGAAGCUGCGGCAGCGACACUAUGUGUUGUUGGGUAGGGGAGCGUUCUGUAAGCCUGCGAAGGUGACCUGUGAGGGUUGCUGGAGGUAUCAGAAGUGCGAAUGCUGACAUAAGUAACGAUAAAGCGGGUGAAAAGCCCGCUCGCCGGAAGACCAAGGGUUCCUGUCCAACGUUAAUCGGGGCAGGGUGAGUCGACCCCUAAGGCGAGGCCGAAAGGCGUAGUCGAUGGGAAACAGGUUAAUAUUCCUGUACUUGGUGUUACUGCGAAGGGGGGACGGAGAAGGCUAUGUUAGCCGGGCGACGGUUGUCCCGGUUUAAGCAUGUAGGCUGGUUAUCCAGGCAAAUCCGGAUAAUCAAGGCUGAGGUGUGAUGACGAGGCACUACGGUGCUGAAGUAACAAAUGCCCUGCUUCCAGGAAAAGCCUCUAAGCAUCAGGUAACAUCAAAUCGUACCCCAAACCGACACAGGUGGUCAGGUAGAGAAUACCAAGGCGCUUGAGAGAACUCGGGUGAAGGAACUAGGCAAAAUGGUGCCGUAACUUCGGGAGAAGGCACGCUGGUGUGUAGGUGAAGCCCCUGCGGGUGGAGCUGAGACCAGUCGAAGAUACCAGCUGGCUGCAACUGUUUAUUAAAAACACAGCACUGUGCAAACACGAAAGUGGACGUAUACGGUGUGACGCC